rnacentral:rRNA from 1 species
CAAUGGCGUAAACAAAGGGAAGCGAAGUGGCGACAUGGAGCAAAUCCCAAAAAUAACGUCCCAGUUCGGAUUGUAGUCUGCAACCCGACUACAUGAAGCCGGAAUCGCUAGUAAUCGCGGAUCAGAAUGCCGCGGUGAAUACGUUCCCGGGUCUUGUACACACCGCCCGUCACACCAUGGGAGUUGGAAAUGCCCGAAGUCAGUGGCCCAACCGGAAGGGGGGAGCUGCCGAAGGCAGGUUCGAUGACUGGGGUGAAGUCGUAACAAGGUACC